CAGGGAUUGCCUCAGUAACGGCGAGUGAAGCGGCAACAGCUCAAAUUUUAAAGCUGGCGUCUUCGGCGUCCGCAUUGUAAUUUGGAGAGGCAUCUUCGGUUAGGGCGCCAGCCUAUGUUCCUUGGAACAGGACGUCACAGAGGGUGAGAAUCCCGUGCCUGGCUGGAUGUCCCUUUCCAUGUGAAGUGUCUUCGACGAGUCGAGUUGUUUGGGAAUGCAGCUCAAAAUGGGUGGUAAAUUUCAUCUAAAGCUAAAUAUUGGCGGGAGACCGAUAGCGCACAAGUAGAGUGAUCGAAAGAUGAAAAGCACUUUGAAAAUAGAGUUAAAAAGUACGUGAAAUUGUUGAAAGGGAAGCGCUUGAGACCAGAGUCGGCCGUGGAUGAUCAGCCGCCCUUAUCGGACGGUGCACUCGUCUGCGGUCGGGCCAGCAUCGGUUGAGCCGGCGGGACAAAGGCUCGGGAAAUGUGGCUCCCUUCGGGGAGUGUUAUAGCCCCGGGCGCAAUGCCGUCAGGCUCGACCGAGGACCGCGCUUUUAUGCUAGGAUGCUGGCGUAAUGGUCUUCAGCGACCCGUCUUGAAACACGGACCAAGGAGUCUAACAUCUAUGCGAGUGUUCGGGUGUCAAACCCCUGCGCGUAAUGAAAGUAAACGGAGGUGGGAACCCUUUCGGGGGCGCACCAUCGACCGAUCCAGAAGUCUUCUGAAGGAUUUGAGUAGGAGCAUAGCUGUUGGGACCCGAAAGAUGGUGAACUAUGCCUGAAUAGGGUGAAGCCAGAGGAAACUCUGGUGGAGGCUCGCAGCGGUUCUGACGUGCAAAUCGAUCGUCAAAUUUGGGUAUAGGGGCGAAAGACUAAUCGAACC
rnacentral:rRNA from 1 species